AAGGAAUAUUGGUCAAUGGACGCAAGUCUGAACCAGCCAUGCCGCGUGAAGGAUGAAGGUCCUCUGGAUUGUAAACUUCUUUUAUCUGGGACGAAAACGGGAUUUUUAUCUCAAUUGACGGUACCAGAGGAAUAAGCACCGGCUAACUCCGUGCCAGCAGCCGCGGUAAUACGGAGGGUGCGAGCGUUAUCCGGAUUUACUGGGUUUAAAGGGUGCGUAGGUGGGCUUAUAAGUCAGUGGUGAAAUCUCCGAGCUUAACUUGGAAACUGCCGUUGNUACUAUAGGUCUUGAACUAUCUGGAGGUAAGCGGAAUAUGUCAUGUAGCGGUGAAAUUCUUAGAUAUGACAUAGAACACCAAGUGCGAAGGCAGCUUACUACAUAUAAAUUGACGCUGAGGCACGAAAGCGUGGGGAUCAAACA
rnacentral:rRNA from 1 species